UACGUAGGGGGCAAGCGUUGUCCGGAUUUACUGGGCGUAAAGAGCGUGUAGGCGGCCAUGCAGGUCCGUUGUGAAAACUCGAGGCUCAACCUCGAGACGUCGAUGGAAGCCAUCUAGCUAGAGUCCGGAAGAGGAGAGUGGAAUUCCUGGUGUAGCGGUGAAAUGCGCAGAUAUCAGGAAGAACACCCGUGGCGAAGGCGGCUCUCUGGUACGUGACUGACGCUGAGACGCGAAAGCGUGGGGAGCGAACAGG
rnacentral:rRNA from 1 species